rnacentral:rRNA from 1 species
GACGAACGCUGGCGGCGUGCCUAAUACAUGCAAGUCGAACGGAAAGGCCCGGCUUUUGUGUGGUGGUUGAGUGGCGAACGGGUGAGUAACACGUGAGUAACCUGCCCUUGACUGUGGGAUAACUUUUGGAAACGGUGGCUAAUACCGCAUAGGAGCUCCUGCUGCAUGGUGUUGAUUGGAAAGGUUCGGUGGUUGGGGUAGGACGUGGGGCUUCUCCGCUUUAUGGUGUGGUAGUGGCGUAGCAUGGCUUUGACGGGUAGCCGGCCUGGGAGGGUGACAGGGCACAUUGGGCCUGAGGUACGGCCCAGAAUGGAACGGGGGGCAGUGGUGGAGAAUAUUGCGGAAUAGGCGGAAGCCUGAUACAGCGGCGCCGGGUGCGGAAUGACGGGUUUCGGGGUAUAAACCGCUUUCGACUGUGAAGUAGACUGAGUGACGGUAAUGGGUCAAAAAGCAACGGCUAACUACGUG